rnacentral:rRNA from 1 species
CACUCCUGCGGGAGGCAGCAGUGGGGAAUAUUGGACAAUGGGCGCAAGCCUGAUCCAGCCAUGCCGCGUGAGUGAUGAAGGCCCUAGGGUUGUAAAGCUCUUUCACCGGUGAAGAUAAUGACGGUAACCGGAGAAGAAGCCCCGGCUAACUUCGUGCCAGCAGCCGCGGUAAUACGAAGGGGGCUAGCGUUGUUCGGAUUUACUGGGCGUAAAGCGCACGUAGGCGGACUAUUAAGUCAGGGGUGAAAUCCCGGGGCUCAACCCCGGAACUGCCUUUGAUACUGGUAGUCUUGAGUUCGAGAGAGGUGAGUGGAAUUCCGAGUGUAGAGGUGAAAUUCGUAGAUAUUCGGAGGAACACCAGUGGCGAAGGCGGCUCACUGGCUCGAUACUGACGCUGAGGUGCGAAAGCGUGGGGAGCAAACAGGAUUAGAAACCCGGGUAGUCCAA